UACGAAGGGGGCGAGCGUUGUUCGGAUUUACUGGGCGUAAAGGGCGCGCAGGCGGCUCAUUUUGUCAGGCGUGAAAGCCCCGGGCUUAACCUGGGCACUGCGUUUGAUACGGAUGGGCUAGAGUUCGGGAGAGGAGAGUGGAAUUCCCAGUGUAGAGGUGAAAUUCGUAGAUAUUGGGAAGAACACCGGUGGCGAAGGCGGCUCUCUGGACCGAUACUGACGCUGAGGCGCGAAAGCGUGGGGAGCAAACAGG
rnacentral:rRNA from 1 species